rnacentral:rRNA from 1 species
CCCAGACUCCUACGGGAGGCAGCAGUGGGGAAUAUUGCACAAUGGGGGAAACCCCGAUGCAGCGACGCCGCGUGAGCGAUGAAGUAUUUCGGUAUGUAAAGCUCUAUCAGCAGGGAAGAAGAUGACGGUACCUGACUAAGAAGCCCCGGCUAACUACGUGCCAGCAGCCGCGGUAAUACGUAGGGGGCAAGCGUUAUCCGGAUUCACUGGGUGUAAAGGGAGCGUAGACGACGACGCAAGUCUGGAGUGAAAGCCCGGGGCCCAACCCCGGGACUGCUCUGGAAACUGCGUCGCUGGAGUACGGGAGGGGCAGGCGGAAUUCCUGGUGUAGCGGUGAAAUGCGUAGAUAUCAGGAGGAACACCGGCGGCGAAGGCGGCCUGCUGGACCGUGACUGACGUUGAGGCUCGAGAGCGUGGGGAGCAAACAGGAUUAGAUACCCGCGUAC